rfam:Microvirga aerilata strain BSC39 scf7180000028499, whole genome shotgun sequence.
GCUGCCGUAGCUCAGUGGUAGAGCACUCCCUUGGUAAGGGAGAGGUCGAGAGUUCGAUCCUCUCUGGCAGCA